CAGAGCCAGGCGCAGGGA
rnacentral:misc_RNA from 1 species